rnacentral:rRNA from 1 species
UUCCCACCUGACCCCAUGCCGAACUCAGAAGUGAAACGCCGUAGCGCCGAUGGUAGUGUGGGGUCUCCCCAUGCGAGAGUAGGGAACUGCCAGGC